UUUCCGUAGGUGAACCUGCGGAAGGAUCAUUGUCGAAACCUGCCCAGCAGAACGACCCGCGAACUUGUAUAAACAACUGGGGGCGGGGGGCGUUCUCGCCCCGUGCCCCCCGAACGGCGGGGAGACACUCGUGCCUUCUUGCCGAACAACGAACCCCGGCGCGGUCUGCGCCAAGGAACUUCAACUAAAGAGUGCCUCCGGUCGCCUCGGAAACGGCGUGCGUGCCGGAGGCGAAUCUUGUGCAAAACCAUAACGACUCUCGGCAACGGAUAUCUCGGCUCUC
rnacentral:misc_RNA from 1 species